rnacentral:rRNA from 1 species
CGGUGGAGCAUGUGGUUUAAUUCGACGCAACGCGAAGAACCUUACCAGGGCUUGACAUCCCCUGACCGCGUAUGAAAGUACGUUUUCACCCUCGGGUGACAGGGAGACAGGUGGUGCAUGGUUGUCGUCAGCUCGUGUCGUGAGAUGUUGGGUUAAGUCCCGCAACGAGCGCAACCCCUACGUUUAGUUGCUAACGCGUGAAGGCGAGCACUCUAGACGAACUGCCGGUGUUAAACCGGAGGAAGGUGGGGAUGACGUCAAGUCCUCAUGGCCUUUAUGCCCAGGGCUUCACACGUGCUACAAUGGCAACUACAGAGCGACGCGAGACCGCGAGGUGGAGCAAAUCGCAAAAAAGUUGCCCCAGUUCAGAUUGCAGGCUGGCAACUCGCCUGCAUGAAGGUGGAAUCGCUAGUAAUCGCGUGUCAGCUAUAACGCGGUGAAUGUGUUCCUGAGCCUU